UGAUGCUGAGCAUACAAAUACCCUGGAGC
rnacentral:piRNA from 1 species